AACGAACGCUGGCGGCAUGCCUAACACAUGCAAGUCGAACGAGACCGUCUGGGCUAGUGGCGCACGGGUGCUUAACGCGUGGGAACCUGCCCUUAGGUGCGGAAUAACUCCCCGAAAGGGGUGCUAAUACCGGAGAAUGUCUUCGGACCAAAGAUUUAUCGCCUUUGGAUGGGCCCGCGUUGGAUUAGCUAGUUGGUAGGGUAAAAGCCUACCAACGCGACGAUCGAUAGCUGGUCUGGGAGGAUGAUCAGCCACACUGGGACUGAGACACGGCCCAGACUCCUACGGGAGGCAGCAGUGGGGAAUAUUGGACAAUGGGCGAAAGCCUGAUCCAGCAAUGCCGCGUGAGUGAUGAAGGCCUUAGGGUUGUAAAGCUCUUUUACCCGGGAUGAUAAUGACAGUACCGGGAGAAUAAGCUCCGGCUAACUCCGUG
rnacentral:rRNA from 1 species